UGAGGGAUGACUGCCUAUGGGUUGUAAACCUCUUUUUUCAGGGAGGAAUAAAUGACGUGUACCUGAAGAAUAACCAUCCGCUAACUCCGUGCCAGCGGCCGC
rnacentral:rRNA from 1 species